AUGUGGCUGCUGAGCACUUUCAUCCUGGCAACUGGGUGUUCUUGUGGUUCUGCACUGCUCUUGCAGCAAAGCCCCAUAUCCGUCACCAAGCCAGAAAGCAAAACUGUGCUGAUCACCUGCCACAUCUCUGAUCCAGAUUUUAACAACGUUUUCAUUCACUGGUACCGAAAAAGGCCCAACGCAGCUCCCAAGCGCAUUGCCUACAUAUCCUCCAAGCUCUUCCUUGAAAACCAGUUCAAUGAGGGGAAAUUCAGUAUCGAGAAAGACCCCGCCAAAUCUGUCUGCACUCUGAUGGUGAGCAAAAUAACUCUGCAAGACUCCGCUACCUACUACUGUGCCAGGUGGGAUGCACAGCAGUGGAAAGCCAUAGGGGACCCGCACAAAGACGUGCUCUGCUUCCUGAACCAGCUCCUGAAGCGUUUGGCAACACACAGGAACAUCCCCAGCCGACCUUCCCCACCAGCCUUGCAUCAGACACAGUGUGCAGGCAGCCAGAUACCAAAGGUGCUGCUGGACUAG